AGGCUAUGGCUGGAAGACUUUUUCCCCUUUGAGUCCCUGCUGCUCUCAGAGGUCUCCUGCGUGCUGGCCUCGUGGUGGGAGGAAGAGGAAGCCGAGGAGGAGACCUGAAGGAGAGGAGAGAGGAAGGUUCAACACCAGGGCGUCUAAGAAGGCUGGACCUAUGCUGGAAGUGGCGAGGCAGAGAAGAGGACCCACAGGAGAAUGGGCUUCUCUGGUGCCAUCCUGGAGCCCUCCAGCUACUACCCCAAACUUCGGCCCCCUGGCUUUCCACCCAUUCUCUGACCACCCCAUGCUCUUCCUAGACAACCUGAGAUUGCACACACUAAGCGUUUGCCAGGAGAGCCUAUCCUUACUCUUCCUGGGAAAUUUCUCAUCCUUUAAAAUCCAGCUUGGAAGUCCCUCUUCCCUGAAGCCUCCCUAAGUACCUCAGGUGGAACAAGACAUUCUGUUCCCUUAUUUCCAGAGAACUGUGCACACAUGACCACAUGUCAACAGCUGCCACUCUGCACUGAAAUGUUCUGUCCUAUCUGAGGCACCAGAAACCAAAGACAGCGGCAGGGUGGUGGUUGAAGGAGCGUGGGCUCUAAGUCGGGCAGAGCAAGGUAUGAGCCUGGUGGGCUCUGCCCUUCACCGCCAUGUUUUUGUUUUUUCUUAAUUUAUUUUUGAGAUGGAGUUUCACUCUUGUUGCACAGGCUGGAGUGCAAUGGUGCGAUCUCGGCUCACUGCAACCUUCCAUCACCUCCCAGGUUCAAGUGAUUCUCCUGCCUCAGCCUCCCAAGUAGCUGGGAUUAUAGGCACCAGCCACCACACCCGGCUAAUUUUGUGUAUUUUUAAUAGAGGCAGGGUUUCACCAUGUUGGCCAGGCUGAUCUUGAACCCCUGACCUCAGGUGAUCCACCUGCCUCGCACUCCCAAAGUGGUGGGACUACAGGCGUGAGCCACCACGCCUGGCCUCACUGCCAUGUUAUACUGUGCAAAGUCUCAACGUCGAUGAGUGUCAGUGUCUUUACAGGGAGCACUAUGCAUAUGUGGUGAGUUGGAAGCAGCAUGAUGCCAGAUACAUGGUAUAGGGUCAAUAAACGAUGAGACAUCCAGUGGCAGCAGCUGCAGAGACAGUGCUGUGGGCAGGUGAAGAGCACAAGCCUUCAAGCCAGACUGCGUUGGAAUCUCAGGUCUACCACUUUACUAGCUGUGUGCUUUUAGGCAAAUUACUUAACCUCCCUGUGCCCCAACAUCUUCAUAUAUUAAAUGGGGUUUGUAAAUUUCCAACCUAA